rnacentral:rRNA from 2 species
CAAGUCGAGCGGUAGAGAGAAGCUUGCUCUCUUGAGAGCGGCGGACGGGUGAGUAAUGCCUAGAAUCUGCCUGGUAGUGGGGGAUAACGUUCGGAAACGGACGCUAAUACCGCAUACGUCCUACGGGAGAAAGCAGGGGACCUUCGGGCCUUGCGCUAUCAGAUGAGCCUAGGUCGGAUUAGCUAGUUGGUGAGGUAAUGGCUCACCAAGGCGACGAUCCGUAACUGGUCUGAGAGGAUGAUCAGUCACACUGGAACUGAGACACGGUCCAGACUCCUACGGGAGGCAGCAGUGGGGAAUAUUGGACAAUGGGCGAAAGCCUGAUCCAGCCAUGCCGCGUGUGUGAAGAAAGGUCUUCGGAUUGUUAAAGCACUUUAAGUCGGGAGGAAAGGCAUUAACUUAAUACUUUGCUGUUUUGACGUUACCGACACAAUAAGCACCGGCUAACUCUGUGCCAGCAGCCGCGGUAAUACAGAGGGUGCAAGCGUUAAUCGGAAUUACUGGGCGUAAAGCGCGCGUAGGUGGUUUGUUAAGUUGGAUGUGAAAUCCCCGGGCUCAACCUGGGAACUGCAUUCAAAACUGACUGACUAGAGU